AGAUCACUGAGAUGAGCAAAUCUGCCAAUAAGCGCAGGACCCACCCAGGUAGAGGAGGAACUUUGUCACACAAGAUAAAGCUGGUGUAGUUGAGAGGAGAAUAGGGCUUAGUAUAUUUAGGGUCAACUUUUUUCCUUUAAAUAUACUUUCUUGUUAUUGUGAACAACUGUUUCAAGCCCCACACCUCCAUCCAUUAUCUUCCCAUGCUUCCAUUUUCUUUGUUUAAUUCUAAAGUUACCCCAUGUCCUAUUAUACUUGCGUUGGUAUUCAGUUUGCUUUCUUCUAGCGUUAAGAACUUUUUCACAGCUUGUGCAGUGGUUGGUUGCAGUAACUCUUGAAGAUACUGGGACCGAUUCUUCAGAGCUCUGCAACAGGUGCAAAGUGGGUGCAAACACUACCAUUCUAAUAUGGCAGCAUUUGACACAAGGUGCAAAAUAUGGAGAAUCAGGCCCAUAAGAUCCAAUAAGCUUGAGUGGACCUUUUAAUUCAAGUCCUAAAAGAGCCUUCUUUACAGGGCAAUAUGUUGCCUCAAUACAAGAGGAAUCAUAAGGAUAAUUAAUGUGGCACUUUAGUAACACACAUCUCUGUUAAAUCACGAAUUACAGCCCUCAGGGUUUCGGUUUUGUAUCAUUUAACUGAAUUUCUUGCUAUAACUAAUCCCCAAUUUUAAAAACUCUAGAACAUUACAGUGGGGUCACUGUAGACAAAUAAUAAAUACACAUAAGGGUCAUUAUGUUCUAGUAACUACAACUGAGUGGAAGCACUCACAUCUGAGCAAAGGGACAUAUGAAUUCUGCUGGCUUGCUCUAAAAUGUUCAGUAGAGAUAAGACUAGCCAUAUUUCCCCAUUCAAAUCUUAGUAUUUCUUUGUAUUUUUCAUGAAGUGUUUUACCACGAUAUUACCUGUGUGUUUCCUAACUAACUGUAGGAAUCAAAUGAUUACAAAAUUGUCUUAAAAGACCAAAUAAAAGCCUUGGCUGCACAAUCCCCAAUUUACUGCUAUCCAUGCCUUCUAGAAUAUAAUUGAUUGCACAUUUUUAAUGGAUUACAAUUUGCUAAAUGAAUCCAACCACUCAAUACUUUAUAAAUAAAUUGUACUUUGUACAGGCUGUAUUUCUGAAGUUAUACUCUAAUACCAACUGACAGCACAUUUAUAUUACAUCUGGUAUUGCACUUCCUUUGAGUGGCACCUACACACACACACACACACACGUGUCUGUCUGCGUGCAUGCAUGUGAAUAAACCCAUCCACCUCAAACUUCUGGACUUUUGGAAUUCACUUCAAAUGCUGUGAAUCUAACAAGUUUAAAACACUGGAGAAAAUGUCAUCCACAGAAUCCUGGGUUUAGCAAGUUAUUGUCAAAAAUAUUUAAGAGUUUAUAAAAAAGUGUUUCAGAAUCCCAAGUUCUGCCUGCAGCUGUGCAUAAGGACAAUCUAAAAACCUCUGGUAGUCUUGAUACUUGCAGAACUGGUGCCCAACAAUUAGAUUUUUCUCUCACAUUCUCAUACAGAGCACAUGAAAAAGCCAGAGCGCGUGUGCAAGAGCAUGCAUGCUAUAAAAUGUUUGUUUGGCAGCUCUAUAUGCUGUGAGUUUCCAAAGUGUUUGCUGUAAGUAGCUGGUGAUCAUUUCUUAUGAAAAUACAUAUUUAUUUCUCA